rnacentral:misc_RNA from 1 species
GAUGAAGAACGUAGCGAAAUGCGAUAAGUAAUGUGAAUUGCAGAAUUCAGAGAAUCAUCGAAUCUUUGAACGCACAUUGCGCCCGCCAGUAUUCUGGCGGGCAUGCCUGUCCGAGCGUCAUUUCAACCAUCAAGCCCCGGGCUUGUGUUGGGGACCUGCGUCCGACGCAGGCCCUGAAAACCAGUGGCGGGCUCGCUGUCCACACCGAGCGUAGUAACUAACCUCGCUAUGGAGUGGCGCGGGCGCCUGCCGUAAAACCCCCAAUUUCACAAGGUUGACCUCGGAUCAGGUAGGAAUACCCGCUGAACUUAAGCAUAUCAAUAAGCGGAGGA